CUCUAAUGAAAAAAAAAACAAAGUCAUAUUUGUAAUCCUCAUCUCAUCUUGUGGUCUUCCUAAUGAACUUGUUGAAUUUUCGUUUUGACGCCAUCGAUCGUCGGUUCUCCUUCUUCGACUGGUGCAACUCGAAAUGGAAAAUGGGGAAAUUUGCUUGCUCUUCUGUAGUGAAUCCUCAUCAUUUUCUUUUCUAUUCUCUACUUUAUUCUUUUAAUGAAAAUUUAGAUUUUAAUGAAAACAUAUUUAUUGAUGUGUUCUUUGAUUUAUUCAUUUAUUUUAUAUUUUAUAUGUAGAUCUAAUUAUUGCUAGAUGAAUGUAAUGGCAGAGAUACUGGACAUUCAAAUAUGAUAUAACAUGUUUGCAAAAUGCAAGAUUUUCAACUUUCCUUAUUGAAACUUCAUGGUCCAUUGUUGCUAAAAUGCUCAUAGCAUUUCCUUUUGCAAAAAGUUGAUGCAAGCUCCAUGUGGUUGGCUUCCAAAUUGUGGAAUUUGAGCUUUUUUGUGGAAUUUAUCUGCACGUAAGAAAUAGAUAUUGAGUGCUUACUAUGUUUAUUUAUAAGUUUUUUUCUUUUAUUUUGUUCUUUGUGUGUCUUUGAUACUGUUUUCUCCAAUGUGAUUGAUUUAUUAUAUGUUAGGAUACUGACAGUGAUAAAGAUACAAGCAUCAAGAUAAUUAGUCAUAUUGGAUGUUGACCACAUCAUCAUACAAAAUACCGGCGAGUUGUUUCAUUAUGGACAUUUUUGUAUCGUCUUUAUCAAUCCUUGUGUUUUUCAUACAGGCCUCUUUGUCAUACAAAACACCUUAAUGAAGCACAAUAUGUUUCAUUCCA